GCGCAAGAAGGAAGGGCUUGAAGGGAGGGAAAAGGGCGAUUGUAAGGGUGUGUAUGCGAGGCAUGGAAAAGUGGGUGGGGACAAGGGUCGCCAGUGAGCAGCAGUCCGUCAGUCAACCCUCCCGCGCGCGCGAGAGCCCCGCGAGCACUACUGCAUUCCUAGAGUGUGGUGGGUAGUGCACACACACACAUACACACAUAAAACGCCCUUUGAAAGACACUCGACCGGCUGAGCGAUGGGAGGAGUUUUCCCGCCGGCUGAUAGGAAGGAAUGAGGAAGGUCACUAAAGAGGCACCCAUCUUCCUUUCGAACGGCACCUCCUCUCACCAAGGACAGUGCCACUUCUGCAGACGGCAGAUGGAAAGAGAAGAAGAUUUCUCGUCGCGGGAAAAUAAGGAGGAUGGGAAAGGAAAUAGGGAAGUAGUAGAAGGAAGGAAGGAAUGAUUGGGGCGUGGCCUGGUACCACCUGCGUGAAGGCAUCAUUUCCCGCGCGCGCACACGCGCACGGGAAGAUAGAGAAAGAGAGAUCACAGAGUGGUACGUCUUCGUUUUUCUUUUCGUGUCAUU
ensembl:ncRNA T28B11.14 ncRNA